CAAAAAGAUUUGGGGAAGGGAGGAGAAGCUCUCAAACCCUCACCAUCUUUGAUCCACCGUAUCUUCCUCGCUUGAGCUCCGAUUGACGAGCUGUUUGUGGCCACGCGUUCGUCUUGGGGUCCUCUUCAAUUUUAUAUGAACAAAGUGGUGCAAACUAAAAUUGGAUAAUUGUUGGGUUGCACUCCAAUCACCAAUGGGUACGGUCGAGAGGCUCCUCGCUAGGCGUCUGGAUCCUGGGAAGCAAAGUAGUCCUUGGGUGUAUUUUGGUUUUCUAUUUGCAUGUAUGUAUAUAUGUAUUUAGCUUACUCUCCAAGUAACUUAUGUAUGCUGCUCCUCUUAGAGGAUGAGGGAGAGAUAGGAGUUUAUUUUGGUAUUUUGGUGUAUUUUGGGGAUACCUAUGUAUGUUCAUAUAUACAUAUAUAUAUAUAUAUAUAUAUAUAUAUAUAUCCUCUGGCCAGCCUUAGCUUCGCAGGCUGAGUCAGGGGCUAGUUAUGUUGUUUCCUUGGCUUUUCUUUAUUCUUUUGCUUAUCUUUAUCAUGUUCCUAUUAGGUUUCUUAGCA